GUUACGGAUUCGAGCUUGAACGCAUGCGAGAAGGUGUACAAUUCUGCAUGGUAUAGUGCAAGUGCUUCAGAGCAGAAAUCAUUAUUGUUAAUAAUGAAACGACGCUUCCACCCGCUUAUUUUAACUGCAUGUAGGUUUUACGUGAUGUCCUUGCAGAAUUUCGGAAUGAUACUUCAAACGGCGGUCUCCUAUUG